UCUCCUAAAAAGAGGACUUCCUCUGUGAUGCACCCUGUGUCUGAUGAUAUAUAUACUGUGGAUUUAGGAUUGAACAGGGCUUCUUCUCGACAUGAUCCAGUGAAGCUGGUGACGUUUCCAGGCAGAACCCCAGAGACUCUCUGUGGUGUCUGUGGCAGGGGGUGUGGCUGGCUUCCUCACUUCAGCAAACAAGGCACACCUGCAAUCACUCACCCAUCAUCCACUCCAUAAAAGCCUGGUCCCGACUCCACUACUAUGCCAGAUAAUUCCGUCUUGUUCGACUCCUCGGUGUGCCUUGUUGCUGCUCCUCGGUUUUUUCGUUUUCCCUCCUGCGUUUCCCCCCUGGAUUAUUCGGCCAGCCAGCACCCUGCCUCCACAGCCUGCCUGCUCUGUUUUCUGGUGUUAAAAUAAACUUUACUCAACACUAGACUGCUCUCAGUGUCUGCUUUGGGGUCCAACCAAAGAACCACCCGUAACAGAAUUAUCUGGCCAAAAUGGACCCCGCAGACGCAGAUAAAUUUAGACAGGCUCUUUCGAACCACGGAGUUCGCAUGGGUCAGCACGAGACGGCUCUACAAGAGAUUAUGGAGGCGCUCCAGAAUCUCUCCUCUAAUGUGACACAAGUCGGUGGCCGCUUGGACCAGCUGUCUACUCACCUCACCACGACGGUUCCCGUCCACCUUCCAGCUCCGGUUCCAGCUCCUGCUCCUGUACCACCAGCUCUUCCCAUCGCUCAUUCUGCACAACCCCGGGAACCCUUCAUCCCCACG